GACGGAAGGGGCUAGCGUUGUUCGGAAUGACUGGGCGUAAAGGGCGCGUAGGCGGCUUUUUAAGUGAGGCGUGAAAGCCCUGGGCUUAACUCAGGAGGUGCGUUUCAAACUGGAAAACUGGAGUACGAGAGAGGAAAGUGGAAUUCCUAGUGUAGAGGUGAAAUUCGUAGAUAUUAGGAAGAACACCAGUGGCGAAGGCGGCUUUCUGGCUCGUAACUGACGCUGAGGAGCGAAAGCGUGGGGAGCAAACAGG
rnacentral:rRNA from 1 species